rnacentral:rRNA from 1 species
GACAGAGGAUGCAAGCGUUAUCCGGAAUGAUUGGGCGUAAAGCGUGCGCAGGCGGUCUUGUAAGACAGAGGUGAAAUCCCCGGGCUCAACCUGGGAACUGCCUUUGUGACUGCAAGGCUGGAGUACGGCAGAGGGGGAUGGAAUUCCGCGUGUAGCAGUGAAAUGCGUAGAUAUGCGGAGGAACACCGAUUGCGAAGGCAGCUCACAAAACUGUAACUGACGCUGAGGCACGAAAGUGUGGGGAUCAAACAGG